rnacentral:lncRNA from 1 species
UUUUAUUUGAGACAAAGAAGAAAGUUGUGAAUUUUCUACACGUUUUACAUUACCACAUAUGUUAAAAUAAUUUUAUCAUAUCUAGAGCUUUGUAACUCUGAUAGAGGUGAUACCAACGACAAAUGAGAGCUAAAAAGAGAGAUAGCUACGGAAAAAAAUGUGGCACAAUUUGGACAGUUUUAUGCCUUUUAUAAAAGGAAAAAUAUGCAUAAUAUUUAGUAGUUGGAGGUUUUUU